rnacentral:rRNA from 1 species
CCUAGGGGGGGCAGCAGUGGGGAAUAUUGGACAAUGGGCGAAAGCCUGAUCCAGCCAUGCCGCGUGUGUGAAGAAGGCCUUCGGGUUGUAAAGCACUUUCAGUGGGGAAGAAAGCCUUGGGGCUAAUACCCUCGAGGAAGGACAUCACCCACAGAAGAAGCACCGGCUAACUCCGUGCCAGCAGCCGCGGUAAUACGGAGGGUGCGAGCGUUAAUCGGAAUUACUGGGCGUAAAGCGCGCGUAGGCGGUCUGAUAAGCCGGUUGUGAAAGCCCCGGGCUCAACCUGGGAACGGCAUCCGGAACUGUCAGGCUAGAGUGCAGGAGAGGAAGGUAGAAUUCCCGGUGUAGCAGUGAAAUGCGUAGAGAUCGGGAGGAAUACCAGUGGCGAAGGCGGCCUUCUGGACUGACACUGACGCUGAGGUGCGAAAGCGUGGGUAGCAAACAGGAUUAGAUACCCGAGUAGUC